AUAUAUAUUAUAGUACCUUGGGUAUCUUGGCGCCCAGGUCCUGGUACUGUUUGUGUAUUAUAUGUGUAUUAUAUAUGUGUGUAUAUAUAUUAUAGUACCUUGGGUAUCUUGGCGCCCAGGUCCUGGUACUGUUUGUGUAUUAUAUGUGUAU